rnacentral:rRNA from 1 species
AUUGAACGCUGGCGGCAGGCCUAACACAUGCAAGUCGAGCGGAUGAAGGGAGCUUUCUCUUGGAUGCAGUGGCGGACGGGUGGGUAAUGCCUAGGAAUCUGCCUGGUAGUGGGGGAUAACGUCCGUUCACGGACCCUAAUAUCGCAUACGUCCUGAGGGUGAAAGGCGGGGUUCUUCAGACCUAACGCUAUCAGCUGAGCCUAGUUCGGAUUAGCUAGUUGGUGUGGUAAAGGCCUACCAAGGCGACGAUCCGUAGCUGGUCUGAGAGGAUGAUCAGUCACACUGGAACUGAGACACGGUCCAGACUCCUACGGGAGGCAGCAGUGGGGAAUAUUGGACAAUGGGCGAAAGCCUGAUCCAGCAAUGCCGCGUGUGUGAAGAAGGUCUUCGGAUUGUAAAGCACUUUAAGUUGGGAGGAAGGGAAGUAAAUUAAUACCUUGCUGUUUUGACGUUACCAACAGAAUAAGCACCGGCUAACUACGUG